rnacentral:rRNA from 1 species
CGGCAACGGAUAUCUCGGCUCACGCAUCGAUGAAGAACGUAGCAAAAUGCGAUACUUGGUGUGAAUUGCAGAAUCCCGUGAACCAUCGAGUUUUUGAACGCAAGUUGCGCCCGAAGCCUUUCGGCCGAGGGCACGUCUGCCUGGGCGUCACAC